CGACUAUUAUUAUGUUAUCGUCUAUUUGAACAAUGGAUACAUAACAAGUCCAUCUAAAGGAUGUAUAAUUCUACUUAUUUCAGGUCCCCAUCUCCACCACAUCGUCGUCGCAAUUCUCCAACUUGGCAUCGCGCCUCUCCAAACAGGCGCCGCCACAGAGGAUCUCCUUUACCAGCCCCUCGUCAACGCCCCUCACCAAGCCGUAGACAACCCUUACGUGCCUCUCCUUCUCCCCCACCACCUCGUCAACGCCAGCGGUCUCCUUCUCCAUCUCAGUCUCCGUCCCCGACACCGCCACAAAAAAUACGCCGUCGACAGCCUUCAGCCUCAUCUGAGUCUCCACCACAUGCAAUGAAGAGGCCAACCUGUCCAGUGUCAGUGUCUCCAAGGCCGAAACCUCGGCCCACUAGAGUUAGCUCUUCGUCACCCUCUCCCGUGCGCCCAGUCCCUGCACCCACAAAACGUAGUCGCAGUUCCCGGUCCCCUCUGGAUCUCCCACGUGCCGCCUCACGUUCAGCCUCGCCUCUCCCGCGGCCUCUUCUGCCUGUCACCACUUUUCGCGAUCGCAGCCCAUCUGUUUCACCAAGCCGGCCCCGCAAGUUAUCUCCUCCACGGCCACUACUACCCAACAAAAGCCCAUCUCCCAUCAGGCUGAGUCGAUCAGCCGAGCACAUCUCACCAGUUGGAAAGGCACCUUCCCAAUCCCCCUACCAAUCACCGAGCCAUGUGCUACCACUUGGUCCAGGCCUCCCGCAGCCCUUCUCCUGCCAAGGUCUCCGAUGCCGGGUCCAAGAAAAAGAAGAAGAAGAAGGAAAAGAAACACAAGCGUGAAAAGAAACACAAGAAGCACAAAAAGCACAAGAAGAGCCGUACGGCGGAGGUCGGCCUCGGCUCUCCCCCUCGCACUUCCCCUGCUCGCCCAAUGCUUUCGCGCUCACCUCCAGCCUCACCAGGCCAGCCACAUUAACCAAACACCUGUGGCAAAACAAACCGCACUUUGCGUUGCUUACUAUUCAUGAAAAUCAAAAUGUUGUAAAGGCUUUUAUUGUCAGCCUCUCAUGCUUACAUUGUGCUAUAACUGUUUAGUGAUUGUAGCUCUUUUUUGGGGGGAGGGGGGUGUGUGUGUGGGGUGGGUCAUUCUCAGGCUUAGAUGUGAUGCAGUUCUUUUUGUUUUGUUACUUUUCUUCUCCCAGUGCUUUUUUUUCUGCUUCCAUUACUGUCCGUGUUUUCAAAAUCUUUCCCCGAAUGCAUAGUUUGUAGUGAAAACCCACGGCCAUUUCGAGUAUCAAUUCUCAUCUUUUUGAUACAACAAACUUCAGAGAAGAAGCCAUUUAUUUUAGGGUGGGGUUUAUUUUAUUACGUUUUAUUUUUGCCGUUGGUGUUAACAGGUGGAAUCGGAGAGUGAAGGCGACGGGGGAAACCUGGACGACCUGGAAAAGCAGCUGCGUGAGAAAGCCUUGCGGUCAAUGCGAAAGUCCGCGUCUGAGGUCCAGGCCUUGUCGCCAUCCCCGUGAAAUCCACGUGGUCGAGGUGGCCAAAAGCUGCUUGGCUUGUUGAGCUCGCUGUAAAUAUAUCACGCCAGCGUACCGCGCCCACUUGACACUUCUCCUUUGAUCACCAAAUAUUUCGCUUCUCCAGAGUCGACAUCUCCAUUGGUCUCGUCAUGCAGUUGCAUCGUUUUGUUUUGGUCUUCAAUUUCAUCUCCAGAUGCAACCAACCAUCUCAGCUGUUUGAGGUCUGCGAUUUUGUUGACCUCGUCGUUUUGAAGGGUUGGUAACCCGAAGAUCUGGGGCUCAUCUUAGUCUUUCCUCGUUCGACGUGAUUUCAACCUGUCCGCCAUCGACCUGAGCCGAGAUUGGUUUUUUUUUUUUCCCCCUUUAUUUUUGUUUUUAUCUGUAACGAUGCUUCAACUUAUUUCUUUCUUGUUCACACAAUUGUUGCAGUUUCUGGAGUUUUAAUUUUGAUGUGGAAAUAAAAUUUAAAAAAUAGCUUCUGAAAUGGAAAUACAUAUUUGGGUAUUUUGCUCAAGGCAGAAGCUGUACCAUGCUGAGGUUUUUGUUCAAAACACAUUUUUGAAUAAACUGAGAUUCAAAACAUCUUUUUGUACCUGGUUUUCAAUUGCCGAGUGUCAUACAUGUGGAUUGUUCCUUUUUAUCUUGCCAAAACGAAGUUUUU
ensembl:lincRNA